rnacentral:tRNA from 1 species
AGAGACGUAGCGUAGUGGCAACGCGCUCCCCUCGGGCGGGAGAUUCGCCGGUUCAAUUCCGGCCGUCUCUACCA